rnacentral:rRNA from 1 species
GCUCGAGUGGCGAACGGGUGAGUAACACGUGAGUAACCUGCCCUUGACUUUGGGAUAACUUCAGGAAACUGGGGCUAAUACCGGAUAGGAGCUCCUGCUGCAUGGUGGGGGUUGGAAGUUCGGCGGUUGGGGAUGGACUCGCGGCUUAUCAGCUUGUUGGUGGGGUAGUGGCUUACCAAGGCUUUGACGGGUAGCCGGCCUGAGAGGGUGACCGGCCACAUUGGAACUGAGAUACGGCCCAG